rnacentral:tRNA from 1 species
AAGAGAAAUUAGGAAUAAUUCUAAACUUCUAAUUUAGAAAUUGAGGUGUUCGAAUCAUCUCUUCUCUUU